rnacentral:rRNA from 1 species
AUUCCCUUAGUAAUGGCGAAUGAAACGGGAAGAGCCCAUCGUCGAAUCGCAAGUCGUCUAGGCUUUGCGAAAUGUGACGUUUGGGAGGGUCUUCCACGGCUCGGACGAUCAGUCAAAGUCCAACUUGACAGUGGCCACAGCCCAUAGAGGGUGAUAGGCCCGUAAGGCGAUUGUCCGGCUGUGCUGACCUCUCUCUAGAGUCGGAUUGCUUGGGAGUGCAGUCCAAAGUGCGAGGUAAACUCCUCGUAAGGCUAAAUAUAACCCCGAGACCGAUAGCAAACAAGUACAGUGAUGGAAAAUUGAAAAGAACUUUGAAGAGAGAGUUAAGAGUACGUGAAACUGUGUGGUGGUAAACGGAGGCGUUCUCGAAGUGUCCGUGGGGGACUCAAGCUUGGUGACGGGCUGCUGGAGCGCUCUGAUCAGCAAUGACGGAGUGCACUAUGAGGGCCUGUCUCCCGGCCGCACUUUCCCCGCGGUUUACGGCAAGAACCGUUGGGACCGGACCAAAGGCCUGGGAAGAAGUUGCCGGCCCCUCGGGGCUUGCAGCUCCUGGUGUCCUGGCUCCGGGCCCGACGGGAUUCGAGUGGACUUGUAUAGCAAGCGACAGCCUGUUGCGGUUCACGUCUCUUUGCCGAGUAGGUCGGUGGCGCCUCCGACCCGUCUUGAAACACGGACCAAGGAGUCUAACAUGUAUGCGAGCCAUUGGGUUAACUAAACCUAGCGGCGCAGUGAAAGCAAAGAGUANCUUGCUGCUCGAGGGACGAUGUGCAAACC